rnacentral:lncRNA from 7 species
AUUUAUCCCUGGAGUGCAUGCGGUGCUCAGUGACUGCCAGGAGGGCUCAGAGCCAUCAGAGGAGGAAGAAGCUUGCCAGCACGGAUGGAGUGAGGAUUCCCACUGGGCUGAGCAUCCCCACAGUGCUGGGCUCUGCAAAAUGGCUUCAGGGGAGCAGAGCAACGGUCAAAACAUCUGCAAGGAUGAAGAGGAUGAAAGGGAAGAGGCGGGCAACACUUUGCAUUUCUCUGAGGAGCUUUGCACGGAAAAAUGCAUGCAGGGGAAAAGCUGAGCACUUUGCAGCACGCAGCUCAGCCCUGCUUGCCUCCAGCCUGCAAUUAAGCUCAUCGCGUUCCUCACCGCAGCAGGAUUGGACUCCUGGUGCUGCUGCUGCAAUCCAGACAAAAGCAUCAACUUUCCCCCGACUGCCAGGAUGUUUCUUGGGCCAAAAACACAAAUUCAAGAAUUCAAGCACAUUGAAGAAACCCAGCUAGGAACAAGAACCCAUCACUGACUUCGCUCCUGCUGCACCGGCCCACAGCAUGACAGCUCUCAGCCCUUACCUUUCUAUUUUACACAGCGUGGCUCUACGCUUACGUAAUUCACAUAAGCUUGCAGUGCAUUUUGGAUUUUCCAUGGCAGAUAAGGAGGUGUGUGCCACAGUUUUCCAUUUGCUUCACAUCUCCAUCGUCAGCCUUUAAGGUUUCUGAGUUGGAAGGACUUCUCCUCUCCAUGUAAAUACUCCUCGGUGGCUCGUGAGGAUCCGAUGCAGAAUAGGAAGCACUGCUCUGCCCAACCCCUACGCAACAUGCUUUAUUUCUACAGCAAAAUCAAACAGCACUUUGGGAGCUCCCAUCGCCUUCCAUUUGAGCCUCAGAAUCUCUCCUUUGCCAUCGUAGGAGCAACAUUCCUUUAGAACACAUCCAUUCUCUAACAGCAGGGAAAUCAAAACCAAAAUUCCCUUCAGAGGGC